AUGGCGCAGACCUACAGCCGCCUGGUGUUAGUGUUGGAUGGGAGGCUCGAAGGAGAAGGUCACUCCAACGGUCGCAGGGAACUGCACGUGGCAUACUCAGAUCGACGCAGCGACUUUGACAGAGCAAACUUGGUAGUGCUACAACACCUAGACGAGGUAGAUCCUUUCGUGGCACUGCACAAAGAAAUUAUCGCAAAGAAGUAUCGUGACCGGGGGGUAUGCAGGACGGACGCCGAAGUUACUAGAGAGCACAACUCCACUUUUCUGCAUUGGUUCAAAGAGCAUAUUAUUGCUAAUCCCCCGGAGGAGGGCUCUAAGGACGGAUUGCUCAUAUACGCCUUAGCACAUGGCCCCUCGCCCAACCUCGUAACCUAUCAGACAUACGAUAUCAAUGGAUACACGUUCUACACGGAGGCCAAAGAUAUGGACAGUGAUGAUCAGAACUCAGGGGUGACGAUGGAAUGCAUGACCGGCAGCGACAACGGCGCAACUGAAAGAUUUUACGGAAGGGUCGAGGAGAUCUGGGAGCUUGACUACGCUGGACUGCACAACACGACGAUGUUCCGUGUCAGAUGG
rnacentral:rRNA from 1 species